GGGCCUGCACAAGCGGUGGAGCAUGCGGAUUAAUUCGAUGCAACGCGAAGAACCUUACCAAGGCUUGACAUAUAGAGGAAAAGUGCAGAAAUGCACUCCCCGCAAGGUCUCUAUACAGGUGGUGCAUGGUUGUCGUCAGCUCGUGUCGUGAGGUGUUAGGUUAAGUCCUGCAACGAGCGCAACCCCUAUUCUUAGUUGCCAGCGGUUCGGCCGGGGACUCUAAGAAGACUGCCAGCGCAAGCUGAGAGGAAGGUGGGGAUGACGUCAAAUCAUCACGGCCCUUACGUCCUGGGCUACACACGUGCUACAAUGGUAGAGACAGAGGGCAGCCACCUGGUGACAGGGAGCGAAUCCUUAAACUCUAUCUCAGUUCGGAUCGAAGUCUGCAACUCGACUUCGUG
rnacentral:rRNA from 1 species